CUUAAAUUGAAGAGUUUGAUCAUGGCUCAGAUUGAACGCUGGCGGCAGGCCUAACACAUGCAAGUCGAGCGGAAACGAGUUAUCWGAACCUUCGGGGRACGAUAACGGCGUC
rnacentral:rRNA from 1 species